CUCAGAGCCGGAGUGGCCUGUUCGUGGUAACUACAUCCCUGUCUUAACUUUGUUUCACAGCUCUGUCCAAAUGACAAAGGUCAUCGAAAAGCUGAGGGCUACAUCACAAUACCCCGAUAAGAAGUCUCUAAACGCCGUUUACCAUCUAUCAGUGCGGUGAGUGUUUCAAUAAGCUUCCUGGGUGUUUGAGCGUGUUGAUAACUGACAGAAACAGUCCGAAAAGCGUGUAACCCUGGCUCUGUAGGACAUACCUUUCAGUGACAGCGUAAUAAACCAUCAGCUCACAACCUCAAUCUUCUUCUUUAAAAGCUCCAGCCGUGAAAUUAUCAACAGUUUAGCGGCGUACAGUACACACAGAAAAUAUCCACCCCGUCAUGUAAUGCAGAAUGUGAGUGGACUACUCUCGUGAUUGACAGUUUGCUUCCACCAAUCAGGAGCGACGUUAUAUUCUAGUGUUUCUCGAUCAGUGUAACGUCCUGAUAUAUUAUGUCCAGGACACGUGUUGUGAAUUUAGGUCCAAAUAAUGUAUUUUCACCGUCAUAGUUACAGUAAGGGAGUGAAUAUGUAGAGUGAAGUCAGCAGAGGUGGGAAGCAACAUCACAUUUACUCAUGUUCCUGCGAUUGAGGGGCUAUUUUUUGUAGUUGUACUUACAUGUAAAGUUUUUAAGUGUUUCUGUUCUACAGAAGCAGCCUGUUCCCUCAGGAAAAAUACUGUUCCUCUGCUGCAUGCAUUCAUGUGUUCCUCUAACCCAAAAAGAAUAAAAAGGCUCAUACACAUGCACACACCCUCAUACACAUGCACACACCCUUUUUCUAAGUUUUCUUUUUCUAAGUCUCUUAGUUGUUUUAAAUCUUUGUCAUGGCCUUGCUCCUCCAUACAUUACAGAUCUGCUGUCAUUUAUGUUCCAGUGAGAUCUCUGAAGUCCCUUAUUUUUUUUUUUUUUUAAAUGUUCCUUAUCACACAAGCACCAGCCAGCUCUACAUUUAUGCACCUAAACUCUUUGAAACACGAGAUAAUGGUUUACUUGUUGCAAGGAACUUUUGAGAAAAUUUGGUUUUGAACGUCACGCAGUAACAUUUAUACUGGGACCUGUCAGGUCAAAACAGCCAAUGUAGACAAUGAAGACGUAAUCUAAUCGUCAAGGUGUAAAGGCAAUUGAUCAAAGCCCAGAUGUUCUUAGCAACUGCUUUGACUUGUGAUUGAUGCUGUGUGAAAUGUAACAAGUUUCAAUAUUUUCAACAGAAGUAAAACUGCUGAUUUUAAAACCUAUUCAAUAAAUGUAUAAGUACACAAAAUGGCAACUAAAAAGAAACAAACCUUACCAAGUGAAUUUCUCACAUUUGUACUCAAAGGAUCUUGUUAUGUAUGAUUUUUUUUUUUUUUCUUAACAUUCAUGCAAUGGACUAGAAUCCAUAGUGAAGCCUCAUUUGUGUUAUCCAAAAAAACAAGAUCAUCAGCAACAAGACUGGCGAUUGUUGUGCUGUGAUUUUAAAUGCCUGAAACCAGUGUGAGGGGGUAGGUGUCAGCCGAGCAGCUGAAAACAGUUACAUUUUUCACCAUAAAUAUUCACAAUGAAUCAAAAAUUUGAAUGUAAAAAGUGAGGAGGAUAAGAUUUUUCUCAGAUGGCACUCCUUAAGCAUGAAGCCUGCAUUACUCACAGGGGGCACUGAAACCCAUAGUUCCACAGAAGAGCUUUAUAAUAAGCUACACAGACACAACAGGCCAAAUAUACUGUGAAAUUAUGCAUAUAAAGUGCACUUUGUAAUCUAGACAGUUGGCUGCAUUCUGUAUACAAAAUUCUUAUGACCCCUACAUGUAGGUGUUGACAGUAAGUAUUCAGGUAAUUUUUACUUCUUUUUGAGUGAAUAAAAGAGUAGGAAUUUAACUCAAGUAGAAUAUAUCGGUACUCUUGCCACCCCUGAAGUUAGACUGGUUAACUCCAUCAGUUGUAAGAAUGUCAUGGUGCAUUUUUAAUCUCCCAAAGAAUGCCACAUUAGCCUGUCUAAGUGAACUCUGUUGUAACUUCACCUUCUUUUCUAGUGAGGGGGACCUGUCAGCUUACAAGUGUAGCUAUUGAAGUUUGAAAUGUGUUUUAUCAAAGUCUCUUCAAGCAGCCUGCGCUUGUAUUUAUGCUUUCAGUUAAACAGAGAUGAAUGUGUGAUGGUGACAUUGAUGAUAACCUGCAUGGCAUCAUCGCGGCAACAUUUAAACUGAGACAGAAUCUGCUAUUAGUUUUAAAAUUGGAAUUGGGAGGGAUUCAUUAAAAAGUAGUCAAAGACAACAUAUCAAGUUCUACAACUUAUUAUUAUUGUUUAUGUAUUUGUAUUAACCAUAAAUUUAUUUUAAGUUUGAUGCAAUAUGUUUCAAAAAGGUAGGACAGAGACAACAAAACUAGAAAUUCUGCCAAGAAUACUCGGAAGAAUAUUUCCUAUCUACUGAGGUUCAUUUAAAACAGGUAUAAAAAGGGAAUUCCAGAGAGGAUCUCAGCAAAGAUGGGCAGAGGUUCAACUCCCUGUGAGGGACUGCAUAAGAGAAUUCAGCAGUUUCAGAGUUUCAUCACAAAUAUCAUUUGUUUUAUCAUCACCUAUGGUUCAUAAUAUCAUUAAAAGUUUCAGAGUACUUAGAGAAAUAUUUAUAUAGAAUAGAAAUGGCCAAAAACCUUUCAGCUUCUAUGAUUUCCAAAAAGAAUGUAGUUUUUUAAUACUAGACCAUGGGAUAGUUUUCCUCUUUGUCCAUCAUGAAUGGUCCAGGCACAAAGAAGUCAUCAGCAUUUCAGGAUCAUGAUGUACACACGUGGACAAAAUUGUUGGUACCCCUCAGUUAAAGAAGGAAAAACCCACAAUUCUCACUGAAAUCACUUGAAACCUACAAAAGUAACAAUAAAUAAAAAUUUAUUGAAAAUUAAAUAAUCAAAAUCAGCCAUUACUUUUGAAUUGUUGAUUAACAUAAUUAUUUAAAAAAAAAAAAAAACUAAUGAAAUAGGGCUGGACAAAAAUGAUGGUACCCAUAACUUAAUAUUUUGUUGCACAACCUUUUGAGGCAAUCACUGCAAUUAAACGAUUUCUGUAUUUGUCAAUGAGCGUUCUGCAGCUGUCAACAGGUAUUUUGGCCCACUCCUCAUGAGCAAACUGCUCCAGUUGUCUCAGGUUUGAUGGGUGUCUUCUCCAAAUGGCAUGUUUCAGCUCCUUCCACAGAUAUUCAAUGGGAUUCAGAUCUGGGCUCAUGGAAGGCCACUUUAGAAUAGUCCAACGCUUUUCUCUCAGCCAUUCUUGGGUGUUUUUGGCUGUGUGUUUUGGAUCGUUGUCCUGUUGGAAGACCCAUGACCUGCGACUGAGACCAAGCUUUCUGACACUAGGCAGCACAUUUCUCUCCAGAAUGCCUUGAUAGUCGUCCGAUUUCAUUUUACCUUGCACACAUUCAAGACACCCUGUGCCAGAUGCAGCAAAGCAGCCCCAAAACAUUGCUGAGCCUCCUCCAUGUUUCACCGUAGGGACAGUGUUCUUUUCUUCGUAUGCUUGGUUUUUGAGUCUAUGAACAUAGAGUUGAUGUGCCUUACCAAAAAGCUCCAGUUUGGUCUCAUCUGUUCAAAGGACAUUCUCCCAGAAGCUUUGUGGCUUGUCAACAUGCAUUUUUGCAAAUUCCAGUCUCGCUUUUUUAUGAUUUUUUUUCAGCAGUGGUGUCCUCCUUGGUCGUCUCCCAUGAAGUCCACUUUGGCUCAAACAACGACGAAUGGUGCGAUCUGACACUGAUGUACCUUGGCCUUGGAGUUCACCUUUAAUUUCUUUGGAGGUUGUCCUGGGCUCUUUGGAUACAAUUCGAACGAUCUGUCUCUUCAAUCUGUCAUCAAUUUUCCUCUUGCGGCCACGUCCAGGGAGGUUGGCUACUGUCCCGUGGGUCUUGAACUUCUGAAUAAUAUGAGCCACUGUUGUCACAGGAACUUCAAGCUGUUUAGAGAUGGUCUUAUAGCCUGCACCUUUAAGAUGUUUGUCUAUAAUUUUUUUUCGGAUGUCCUGGGACAAUUCUCUCCUUCGCUUUCUGUCGUCCAUGUUCAGUGUGGUACACACCUUUUCACCAAACAGCAGAGUGACUACUUGUCUCCCUUUAAAUAGGCAGACUGACUGAUUAUGAGUUUGGAAACACCUGUGAUGUCAAUUAAAGGACACACCUGAGUUAAUCAUGUCACUCUGGUCAAAUAGUUUUCAAUCUUUUAUAGAGGUACCAUCAUUUUUGUCCAGCCCUAUUUCAUUAGUUUGUUUUUUUUAAAUAAUUAUGUUAAUCAACAUUUCAAACGUAAUGGCUGAUUUUGAUUACUUAAUUUUCAAUAAAUUUUUAUUUAUUGUUACUUUUGUAGGUUUCAAGUGAUUUCAGUGAGAAUUGUGGGUUUUUCCUUCUUUAACUGAGGGGUACCAACAAUUUUGUCCACGUGUGUAUAUGGUUUCUUUCUUGCAUUGUAAAUGCAGCAAUAAACCAUGUCCACUGACGUGGUUUUUGGAGGUGACUGUGAACUCAUGCAGUAAUUUCCACUAUAGAGUCAUGUCUGAUUUUAAUGCAGUGCUGCCUGGUUUUCACAGAUUUCUGAAGGUUCUCUGAAUUUAUUUGUGAUAAUCCUGUUUUUGUUUAGCUGUUGGUUUCAGGUGUAUGCUCCCUUUUCUUCCUCUCCUUUCUGUUCUCCACCUCCUGUAGGGCACACAUGUGUGGCAGGAGCUGUGGCAGUGGACGGGGCACACCUGUUUCCACUCAAGCCCACCAACCUGACUAUGAAGACUGGUCUUCACUCCUCUGCUGGGUUAUUCUGUCUUGGUCAGUUGUGAUCUAUGUGCUUGGAAUCCUUAAGCUGCUGGUUUUUGUAGUAUAACUUGUGAAAUAUUGAACCGACCACUGUUUUCCUCUGUCCACUCUUCCUCAGUGCCCAAUAUUUUCCAGUUUUUCCUCUCUGGAGAUUUCUCUAAGCCAGCCAGCUUCCUGCCUCCAUGGCUUGCGCUUUGUUUUCCAAUAAAUCUUUCUUUUGCAC